rnacentral:rRNA from 1 species
CACGUAGGGUGCGAGCGUUGUCCGGAAUUAUUGGGCGUAAAGAGCUCGUAGGCGGUGUGUCGCGUCGGCCGCGAAAACCUGCAGCUUAACUGUGGGCUUGCGGUCGAUACGGGCAUCACUGGAGUUCGGCAGGGGAGACUGGAAUUCCUGGUGUAGCGGUGAAAUGCGCAGAUAUCAGGAGGAACACCAAUAGCGAAGGCAGCUCGCUGGGACGGUACUGACGCUAAGGCGCGAAAGCGUGGGGAGCGAACGAGGG